GUACUGCUGAGGAGUCCCAAACUAGGAUGAAACAGCUGUCCAGAAC
rnacentral:hammerhead_ribozyme from 1 species